AUUGAACGCUGGCGGCAGGCCUAACACAUGCAAGUCGAGCGAGCGGCGGACGGGUGAGUAAUGCCUAGGAAUCUGCCUGGUAGUGGGGGAUAACGUCCGGAAACGGGCGCUAAUACCGCAUACCAUCAGAUGUGCCCAGAUGGGAUUAGCGAGUAGGUGGGGUAACGGCUCACCUAGGCGACGAUCCCUAGCUGGGCUGAGAGGAUGACCAGCCAAACUGGAACAGGUACACGGGCCCGACUCAUAAGGGAGGCAGCAGUGGGGAAUAGUGCACAAUGGGCGCAAGCCUGAUGCAGCCAUGCCGAGUGUGUGAAGAAGGCCUUCGGGUUGUAAAGCACUUUCAGCGGGGAGGCGUUACCCGCAGAAGAAGCACCGGCUAACUCCGUGCCAGCAGCCGCGGUAAUUC
rnacentral:rRNA from 1 species